AAAGUGCCAAAAUUAAAUAAAUAAAUACAUCAUUAAAUAAUUAAUUAAAUAUGUCAUUAAUUAAUUAAAAUUGGAAUUAAAUAUUUCAUUAAUUAAUUAAAAUUGGAAUUAAAUAUUUCAUUAAUUAAUUAAAAUUGGAAUUAAAUAUGUCAUUAAUUAAUUAAAAUUGGAAUUAAAUACUUAAAUGUGUUAUUAAAUAAAUAUAUCAUUAAAUAAUUAAAUAUGUCAUUAAUUAGUUAAAAUUGGAAUUAAAUAUGUCAUUAAUUAAUUAAAAUUGGAAUUAAAUACAUAAAUGUGUUAUUAAAUAUGUCAUUAAUUUAUUAAAAUAACAAUUAUUUUAAGUAAAAAACAUAUUUCAUUAUUUCACGAUUUAAUUAAUUAUUUCAUGGUCCUUGUGUUGCAGUGGAUCAUGAAUUAAUUUUAUCUGUCAACCUCGCCCGUCAAAGUCGGUGGGCGGAUCCUAACACCUGAUUGGUUACCCUGCACAUCAAGUCAAGGCAAAUCGAUUCCAGAUAAUGGAUUGACGCAGAGCUUGUGAACACAUUCCGAUACACUGGGUGGCGCUAUUCACCUCUACGUUGGUUUGGAUACUCAAUAAAACAAAACUUUAUUAGCAACCGCUAAAGACUCGGUCCUCUUUCCCAAAUGUUGAUACAUGUGGUGCAAGACAAAUUUUCCUUUAGCGUUUCCUUUAGCAUCUACUCGGCGCGCCACGGCUCGUCUCGGUUUAGUUGUUUUUCCAUUACAUUGAGAACCACCUCAUCGUGGGUGGAGUCGUCAUAGCACGGCGGUCCGAAAGUCCCUUACCGUCAUUUCUGUGCGACACAAACGCAAUGCAACAAUGUACAUGGAGGCGAUAGUACACCUGCUGCUCGGUCUGUGGCUUUCUGUCAGAUUCAGAGUAAUAGAAGAGUCGGAGAAAGCUGAGAGCGACGAGUCGAAACACUGAGGAGACACACAGGAGAGUUUGGGAGGCGAUGCAGCAGUAUCAAGCCGAAGACAAGAGGAUAUGAACUAGACGACAUAUGAGGAUGCUCUCUGAUGAGACUUCAUGGGAUUUACCUGAAGCAGCAGCACAUGAGCCUGCAGUAGCACAAGGUGUAGAGGAGGAGGGCAGAGAUGUACAGGAUGCACUGAUGCACUACGUGUCAUGCAGAAGUUAGACAUUCUUCUUGUUAUACUUCUGUUUUUCGGUCCCCGGACCGCUAUUGUUUUCUUUAAUGCAAUUCUGACAAUAAACUUUUGUAGAUGUGUCUAUA